AAGUAAAAGUCGUAACAAGGUUUCCGUAGGUGAACCUGCGGAAGGAUCAUUAUCGAGUUCAGAAUGUGGGCUUGAGCUGGCGCUUCGGCGCAAGUGCUCGGCCCCGCUCAUCCACUCAACCCCUGUGCACUUUAGAGGUGUGGUCCCCCGUCAUGGGAGCCGCUGGCGCAAGCCGGCUGGGAUUGCGCCUCGACCUUCACACAAACCCCUGAAAAGUAUAGUGAACGUGAAUCGCGUCAGCGAUGAAACUUAAUACAACUUUCAACAACGGAUCUCUUGGCUCUCGCAUCGAUGAAGAACGCAGCGAAAUGCGAUAAGUAAUGUGAAUUGCAGAAUUCAGUGAAUCAUCGAAUCUUUGAACGCACCUUGCGCUCCUUGGUAUUCCGAGGAGCAUGCCUGUUUGAGUGUCAUGAGCAUCAUCAACCUCCUGGUUUUGUUACCUGGGAGGCUUGGACUUGGGGGUUUGCUGGCUUCGCGGUCGGCUCCUCUGGAAUGCAUUAGCGGUCGCUGGGGCGUCCUCGGUGUGAUAAGUAUUUCACCUUGGGCGUCCUGUCGAGGCGGCCGCUUCCAACCGUCUUCGGACAACCUUUUGACAAUCUGACCUCAAAUCAGGUAGGACUACCCGCUGAACUUAAGCAU
rnacentral:rRNA from 1 species